rnacentral:rRNA from 1 species
AGAUUAAGUUAUUAAGGGCGCACGGUGGAUGCCUUGGCACUAGAAGCCGAUGAAGGACGUUACUAACGACGAUAUGCUUUGGGGAGCUGUAAGUAAGCUUUGAUCCAGAGAUUUCCGAAUGGGGAAACCCAGCAUGAGUUAUGUCAUGUUAUCGAUAUGUGAAUACAUAGCAUAUCAGAAGGCACACCCGGAGAACUGAAACAUCUUAGUACCCGGAGGAAGAGAAAGAAAAUUCGAUUCCCUUAGUAGCGGCGAGCGAAACGGGAAGAGCCCAAACCAACAAGCUUGCUUGUUGGGGUUGUAGGACACUCUAUACGGAGUUACAAAGGACGACAUUAGACGAAUCAUCUGGAAAGAUGAAUCAAAGAAGGUAAUAAUCCUGUAGUCGAAAAUGUUGUCUCUCUUGAGUGGAUCCUGAGUACGACGGAGCACGUGAAAUUCCGUCGGAAUCUGGGAGGACCAUCUCCUAAGGCUAAAUACUCUCUAGUGACCGAUAGUGAACCAGUACCGUGAGGGAAAGGUGAAAAGCACCCCGGAAGGGGAGUGAAAUAGAACCUGAAACCGUGUGCUUACAAGUAGUCAGAGCCCGUUAAUGGGUGAUGGCGUGCCUUUUGUAGAAUGAACCGGCGAGUUACGAUUUGAUGCAAGGUUAAGCAGUAAAUGUGGAGCCGUAGCGAAAGCGAGUCUGAAUAGGGCGUUUAGUAUUUGGUCGUAGACCCGAAACCAGGUGAUCUACCCUUGGUCAGGUUGAAGUUCAGGUAACACUGAAUGGAGGACCGAACCGACUUACGUUGAAAAGUGAGCGGAUGAACUGAGGGUAGCGGAGAAAUUCCAAUCGAACCUGGAGAUAGCUGGUUCUCUCCGAAAUAGCUUUAGGGCUAGCCUCAAGUGAUGAUUAUUGGAGGUAGAGCACUGUUUGGACGAGGGGCCCCUCUCGGGUUACCGAAUUCAGACAAACUCCGAAUGCCAAUUAAUUUAACUUGGGAGUCAGAACAUGGGUGAUAAGGUCCGUGUUCGAAAGGGAAACAGCCCAGACCACCAGCUAAGGUCCCAAAAUAUAUGUUAAGUGGAAAAGGAUGUGGCGUUGCCCAGACAACUAGGAUGUUGGCUUAGAAGCAGCCAUCAUUUAAAGAGUGCGUAAUAGCUCACUAGUCGAGUGACACUGCGCCGAAAAUGUACCGGGGCUAAACAUAUUACCGAAGCUGUGGAUUGUCCUUUGGACAAUGGUAGGAGAGCGUUCUAAGGGCGUUGAAGCAUGAUCGUAAGGACAUGUGGAGCGCUUAGAAGUGAGAAUGCCGGUGUGAGUAGCGAAAGACGGGUGAGAAUCCCGUCCACCGAUUGACUAAGGUUUCCAGAGGAAGGCUCGUCCGCUCUGGGUUAGUCGGGUCCUAAGCUGAGGCCGACAGGCGUAGGCGAUGGAUAACAGGUUGAUAUUCCUGUACCACCUAUAAUCGUUUUAAUCGAUGGGGGGACGCAGUAGGAUAGGCGAAGCGUGCGAUUGGAUUGCACGUCUAAGCAGUAAGGCUGAGUAUUAGGCAAAUCCGGUACUCGUUAAGGCUGAGCUGUGAUGGGGAGAAGACAUUGUGUCUUCGAGUCGUUGAUUUCACACUGCCGAGAAAAGCCUCUAGAUAGAAAAUAGGUGCCCGUACCGCAAACCGACACAGGUAGUCAAGAUGAGAAUUCUAAGGUGAGCGAGCGAACUCUCGUUAAGGAACUCGGCAAAAUGACCCCGUAACUUCGGGAGAAGGGGUGCUCUUUAGGGUUAACGCCCAGAAGAGCCGCAGUGAAUAGGCCCAAGCGACUGUUUAUCAAAAACACAGGUCUCUGCUAAACCGUAAGGUGAUGUAUAGGGGCUGACGCCUGCCCGGUGCUGGAAGGUUAAGAGGAGUGGUUAGCUUCUGCGAAGCUACGAAUCGAAGCCCCAGUAAACGGCGGCCGUAACUAUAACGGUCCUAAGGUAGCGAAAUUCCUUGUCGGGUAAGUUCCGACCCGCACGAAAGGCGUAACGAUUUGGGCACUGUCUCAACGAGAGACUCGGUGAAAUCAUAGUACCUGUGAAGAUGCAGGUUACCCGCGACAGGACGGAAAGACCCCGUGGAGCUUUACUGUAGCCUGAUAUUGAAAUUCGGCACAGCUUGUACAGGAUAGGUAGGAGCCUUUGAAACGUGAGCGCUAGCUUACGUGGAGGCGCUGGUGGGAUACUACCCUAGCUGUGUUGGCUUUCUAACCCGCACCACUUAUCGUGGUGGGAGACAGUGUCAGGCGGGCAGUUUGACUGGGGCGGUCGCCUCCUAAAAGGUAACGGAGGCGCUCAAAGGUUCCCUCAGAAUGGUUGGAAAUCAUUCAUAGAGUGUAAAGGCAUAAGGGAGCUUGACUGCGAGACCUACAAGUCGAGCAGGGUCGAAAGACGGACUUAGUGAUCCGGUGGUUCCGCAUGGAAGGGCCAUCGCUCAACGGAUAAAAGCUACCCCGGGGAUAACAGGCUUAUCUCCCCCAAGAGUUCACAUCGACGGGGAGGUUUGGCACCUCGAUGUCGGCUCAUCGCAUCCUGGGGCUGUAGUCGGUCCCAAGGGUUGGGCUGUUCGCCCAUUAAAGCGGUACGCGAGCUGGGUUCAGAACGUCGUGAGACAGUUCGGUCCCUAUCCGUCGUGGGCGUAGGAAAUUUGAGAGGAGCUGUCCUUAGUACGAGAGGACCGGGAUGGACAUACCUCUGGUGUACCAGUUGUCGUGCCAACGGCAUAGCUGGGUAGCUAUGUGUGGACGGGAUAAGUGCUGAAAGCAUCUAAGCAUGAAGCCCCCCUCAAGAUGAGAUUUCCCAACUUCGGUUAUAAGAUCCCUCAAAGAUGAUGAGGUUAAUAGGUUCGAGGUGGAAGCAUGGUGACAUGUGGAGCUGACGAAUACUAAUCGAUCGAAGACUUAAUC